rnacentral:lncRNA from 1 species
GACAAUCGACCUCAAGCCAGUGUUCUAGUUGAAGUUUAUGGGCAGAGACUUGUACAAGAAUCCAGCAGAUCAUCAGAUGCCAGGUUAAAGUAAGAAAUUAAUGAUGGGAACCGGGGUUAACUAGUGCUAGAUCUGAUGCUAUUGGAUGUGUGGUGUUUUAUUUCCUGAUCCUGCUAGAGAGGAUAAGGUGAAUUGGAAAGCUAAUGCUACUGGUGAAUUUCAAGUUAGGCAAGACAAGUUCUACAUAUGAUUCGUUGCGGACAGCACAAGUCUGAUUUGUUGUGGUCUCUGGUUCAGUUUGCUUUGAAAGAAAUGAUUUUAAGAUCCAAAACAGAUCCUACUACCAGCAACUUCACGAGCCUGACUUUUGAACUUUGAAAUAAAGAUGACAGAAGAUUUUCUUCCCCUCUAAUUCUCUGAGGCAACGGAGCACAAGAUUAGAGAUAAAGAAUACAACUUACACAUUAACAGAUACAAAAAAGAGGCUACAUCAGCAACUAAAUUAAACCAGGGAGAGAACUUGAAUUUGAGUGAUGGCAAAAAAGGUAAAAGAUUUUCUUCAAUUCAGUUUUCUGGACACUUAGACGUAGAAGGAUAAUAAUUUCAGAGCUAACAAAAAAGAAAAGAAACGGAAGGAAGAGUCAGAAAUCUCGUGUGGAAAGUGCCGCCCAUGGCAACCAAUCAGAUAAAACAGACUGGUGCUGCGUUUGCACAGAUAAUUUCAUCACUCUCUUUCUUCAACAAUAACAAACCCUAGAAACUACAAAAGCAAAAACCAAUUUUGAAAUACAGCUUCCAUUAUCCCCAUGCUUUGCGACCAUUUGAAGAAAGCCAUGAAUGGAGGUUUAUUUAUAGUGGUAGCGAUGGUUGCCCUAAUUACAAAUGGAACGGGAAUGUCUAAACUACGCGUCGUUUCUUUCCAAGCUGUAAUUACUAUUGGGCCUGCAACCAAGGAUAAGAAUGACCUUUUUAUGGGCCAAACUGAAGGGCACGCUCUCAU